rnacentral:rRNA from 2 species
GGACUACCAGGGUUUCUAAUCCUGUUUGCUCCCCACGCUUUCGUGCCUGAACGUCGGUACUGGACCAGGAAGCCGCUUUCGCCACUGGUGUUCCUUCAGAUAUCUACGCAUUUCACCGCUACACCUGAAAUUCCGCUUCCCUCUUCCGUACCCUAGCUACACAGUCUCGAAUGCAAUUCCCAGGUUGAGCCCGGGGCUUUCACACCCGACUUAUGUAACCGUCUGCGCACGCUUUACGCCCAGUAAUUCCGAUUAACGCUUGCACCCUCUGUAUUACCGCGGCUGCUGGCAC